GAUGAACGCUGGCGGCGUGCUUAACACAUGCAAGUCGAACGAUGAAGCCCAGCUUGCUGGGUGGUUUAGUGGCGAACGGGUGAGUAACACGUGAGUAACCUGCCCUUAACUCUGGGAUAAGCCUGGGAAACUGGGUCUAAUACCGGAUAGGAGCGUCCACCGCAUGGUGGGUGUUGGAAAGCUUUAUCGGUUUUGGAUGGACUCGCGGCCUAUCAGCUUGUUGGUGAGGUAAUGGCUCACCAAGGCCACGACGGGUAGCCGGCCUGAGAGGGUGACCGGCCACACUGGGACUGAGGCACGGCGCAGACGCCUACGGUAGGCAGCAGUGGGGAAUAUUACACAAUGGGCGCAAGCCUGAUGCAGCGACGCCGCGUGUGGGAUGACGGCCUGCGGGUUGUAAACCUCUUUCGGUAGGGAAGAAGCGAAAGUGACGGUACCUGCAGAAGAAGCACCGGCUAACUACGUG
rnacentral:rRNA from 1 species